AACAAAAUAAUUGGGACUCUCUAUGAAAUGCUGUCACGGUACACAAUGUAUCCAACCCACUCAGACUACAUACAGGUCAUCAAAGCACUGAUUGUGAAGUAUCCUUUCUUAAGGGACGUUCACGGGAAUGGUUAUCAUACCUGGCACAGCCAACUCAAGAGAAAAUUUAAAGCAGAACGGGCUCCACUAAUCCACAGUGAGGAAGUAAAACAGGUCAAAGAGAAGUUUGGGCAAGCA